rnacentral:rRNA from 1 species
UACGAAGGGGGCUAGCGUUGUUCGGAAUUACUGGGCGUAAAGCGCACGUAGGCGGAUAUUUAAGUCAGGGGUGAAAUCCCGGGGCUCAACCUCGGAACUGCCUUUGAUACUGGGUAUCUUGAGUAUGGAAGAGGUAAGUGGAAUUGCGAGUGUAGAGGUGAAAUUCGUAGAUAUUCGCAGGAACACCAGUGGCGAAGGCGGCUUACUGGUCCAUUACUGACGCUGAGGUACGAAAGCGUGGGGAGCAAACAGG